rnacentral:rRNA from 1 species
AUACGGAGGGUGCGAGCGUUAAUCGGAAUUACUGGGCGUAAAGGGUGCGUAGGCGGUUUGAUAAGGCGGAUGUGAAAGCCCCGGGCUUAACCUGGGAAUGGCAUUCGAUACUGUCAGGCUAGAGUAUGUCAGAGGUUGGCGGAAUUCCUGGUGUAGCGGUGAAAUGCGUAGAUAUCAGGAGGAACACCAGUGGCGAAGGCGGCUAACUGGGGCAAUACUGACGCUGAGGCACGAAAGCGUGGGGAGCAAACAGGAUUAGAAACCCUAGUAGUCC